rnacentral:rRNA from 1 species
AUUGAACGCUGGCGGCAGGCCUAACACAUGCAAGUCGAGCGAGCGGCGGACGGGUGAGUAAUGUAUGGGGACUGCCCGAUAGAGGGGGAUCACUACUGGAAACGGUAGCUAAUACCGCAUACUAUCGGAUAACCCAUAUGGGAUUAGCUAGUAGGUGAGGUAAUGGCUCACCUAGGCGACGAUCCCUAGAAGGUCUGAGAGGAUGAUCAGCCACACUGGGAGUGAGACACGGCCCAGACUCCUACGGAGGGAGCAGUGGGGAAUAUUGCACAAUGGGCGCAAGCCUGAUGCAGCCAGGCCGAGUGUAUGAAGAAGGCCCUAGGGUUGUAAACCUCUUUCGCUAUCGAACGGGUAGGUAGAGAAGAAGCGCCGGCUAACUACGUGCCAGCAGCCGCGGUAAUAC